rnacentral:rRNA from 1 species
CAUCGCCUCUUGAAAUUAUAAGAGGUCCAGCCUGCCCAGUGACUCUGUUCAACGGCCGCGGUAUACUAACCGUGCGAAGGUAGCGUAAUCACUUGUUCUUUAAAUGAGGACUUGUAUGAAAGGCACCACGAGGGUUACACUGUCUCCUCUUUCUAAUCAGUGAAACUAAUCUCCCCGUGAAGAAGCGGGGAUUUAUAUAUAAGACGAGAAGACCCUAUGGAGCUUUAAAUAAUAAUAACAAUUGCCGUAUGAUUUUUAUUUCAGAAAACUAACUUACAUUCUAGCAUCAUGAUUAUUAACUUUAGGUUGGGGUGACCGCGGAGUAUAAAACAACCUCCAUAUUGAACUAGAACCUAAAUUCUAAGCAAAAAGUCACAACUUUAUGCAUCAAUAAAUUGACAUUAAUUGACCCAAUAUUUUGACCAAUGAACCAAGU